AUUGAACGCUGGCGGCAUGCUUUACACAUGCAAGUCGAACGGUAACAGGCCGCAAGGUGCUGACGAGUGGCGAACGGGUGAGUAAUGCAUCGGAACGUGCCCAGUCGUGGGGGAUAACGCAGCGAAAGCUGCGCUAAUACCGCAUACGAUCUAUGGAUGAAAGCGGGGGACCGUAAGGCCUCGCGCGAUUGGAGCGGCCGAUGUCAGAUUAGGUAGUUGGUGGGGUAAAGGCUAACCAAGACAACGAACUGUAGCUGGUCUGAGGGGACGACCAGCCACACUGGGACUGAGACACGGCCCAGACUCCUACGGGAGGCAGCAGUGGGGAAUUUUGGACAAUGGGCGCAGGCCUGAUCCAGCAAUGCCGCGUGCAGGAAGAAGGCCUUCGGGUUGUAAACUGCUUUUGUACGGAACGAAACGGUCCUGGUUAAUACCCGGGGCUAAUGACGGUACCGUAAGAAUAAGCACCGGCUAACUACGUGCCAGCCGCCGCGGUAACAC
rnacentral:rRNA from 1 species